CCCGGCUGUUUGCAACCACUGCCUAUCGUCUGUGUAGACCUGAACAAGGAGGGGGGAAAAAAGAAAUCCCUGCCAUGUUGUGCAGGCGUCCUCGGAAGAUUAGCCCUGAGCUAACAUCUAUGCCCAUCUUCCUCUAUUUCAUAUGUGGGACACCUGCCACAGCGUGGCUUGGGUGGAGGUCAGAAGUUUAAAAGUCAUUUUUACUGAGCUCAAGUCAAGUCGUCAGCCGGGCUGGUUCCUUCUAGAGGCUCCGAGGGGAGAACCUAUCUCCUUUCCUUUUUCCCCCUCUAGUGGCUACCUGUAUUCUUUGAAUUCCUCCAUCUUCAAAGUAUCACUCCAAUCUUUGCUCUGUCAUCACAUCGCCUUCUUCUCUGACUUCGGCUGCAUCUCUCUUCAAGGGCACUGUGAUUAUGUUGGACCCACAUGGAUAAUCCGGGAUAAUCUCCCCAUUUCAAUAUCCUUAACUUCAUCGCAUAUGGCAACU
rnacentral:lncRNA from 1 species